rnacentral:rRNA from 1 species
UAGUCAUAUGCUUGUCUUAAGGAUUAAGCCAUGCAAGUCUAAGUAUAAGUAUUUCAUAGCGAAACUGCGAAUGGCUCAUUAAAACAGUUAUAGUUUAUUUGAUAAUUCCAAAUGGAUAACUUUAGGAAAUCUAGAGCUAAUACAUGCUGCAAAGUCCGAUGCUAGUCUGAGGACCGUAUUUAUUAGAUAUUAACCUUUCGGGCCACGCCCGUUUAGAUGAAUCAUAAUAACUUCUCUGACCACUUCUCGUGGUUAAUCAUUCAAGUUUCUGCCCAAUCAGCUUUAGAUGGUAGUGUAUUGGACUACCAUGGCGAUCACUGGUAGCGGAGAAUUAGGGUUCGAUUCCGGAGAGGGAGCCUGAGAAACGGCUACCACUUCUAAGGAAGGCAGCAGGCGCGUAAAUUACCCAAUCCUGACUCAGGGAGGUAGUGACAAGAAAUAGCGACUCGGGGGUUUUUAUAAUCUUGCGAGUUUGCAAUGAGAACAAUUUAAAGCACUUAACGAGGAUCAAUU